ensembl:lncRNA
AUGUUCAGAAAGCAUCACAUCAUAUGGGAUCUCAGCUCCCCAUCCAGGGAUCCGCACACCGCCUGCAAUGGAAGGCAAAGUCUUAGCUACUGGACCGCCAGGGAGGCCCAUGAGCUUAAACUUCUAAAUCAGCUUCACAGGACAAGCAGCGGGACUCACCAGUUUUAUAAUUCAUUGAUUCCAAAUAUCCAGUCUUUGGGUGAGAAACUUCAUUUCCACCCGAACCAGAGGAAGACUACAGUUGCUCAGAAUGUCUUCUCACAUGGGACAUCACAAAAUAAAUUAGCCCAGGACAAAUGGGGGAACUUUCUUAUCUCUCAUUGUGUUCCCAUGCCAUAUUUUCUGUGAGAAAGAUGUUCUUAAAUUUUUCUUCAAAAAAAAAUACUAUUCAUGUCUAUGUUUUUUAAGUAAUGCCAGAUUAGCCUUCCAAGCAUUGUACCAAUUCAUUUUCUCACCAGUGGUGACUGAGUGUUCUUGAUACUCUGCAUCCUCCCUCAACUCUUGGUACUGUUGGUUUUUAAAACUUUGCUCCAAGGGCCCGUUUUAAAAUAUAAAUCAGGUCAUGACACAUCCCUCCCUUAAAGCUGCCCAUUAGAUUAAUAAUAAAUCCUAAUCCUUUCAAAGCCCAUUGUAACUGGGCCCCUCGUACUUUCCUCUCCAACACUCUCCCCCAUUUCUUCUUGCUGUGUUCGUGUAUUUAAUAUUUAUUUAUUUAUUUGGCUGUGCUGGGUCUUGGACUUCCUUGGUGGCUCAGACGGUAAAGAAUCCACCUGCAAUGCGGGAGANNNNNNNNNNNNNNNNNNNNNNNNNNNNNNNNNNNNNNNNNNNNNNNNNNNNNNNNNNNNNNNNNNNNNNNNNNNNNNNNNNNNNNNNNNNNNNNNNNNACUUCCUUGGUGGCUCAGACGGUAAAGAAUCCACCUGCAAUGCGGGAGACCUAGAUUCGAUCCCUGGGUUGGAAAGAUCCCCUGGAGGAUGGCAUGGCAAGCCACUCCAGUAUUCUUGCCUGGAGAACCCCAUGGAGAUGGGCCUGGCGGGCUGCAGUCCAUGGGGUGGCAAAGAGUCAGACACACCUGAGCGCUAGGCCUGAGUUGUGGCGUGGCACACAGGAUCUUCAGGCUUCUUGCUGCACGUGGGAUCUUAGUUCUCUGAGCAGGGAUUGAAGCUGGGCCUCCUGCGCUGGGCGCAUGGAGUCAGCCACCGGGCCAGCAGGGAAGCCCCUCUCGCCGUGCUCCUAAUGGCCGGGCUGCUUCUCCCUUUUGUCCUCUGCCCCCUCUCACGGCACCUGGCAAUUCCCAUCCUGGAGUUUGUCACCCCUGUGCAUUUGUCUUUGGACUGGGAGCUUCAUGAGGACAGGAUGCGUACGGACUGUCCCACACUGGUCCCCGAGCCCUCCCUGGCAAGCCAGCACCAUCCAGGCAGCCCUGGAAGACUGGCCUUCCUUCUGGGGGCCCCAGAGGCAGGGGAUGGUGCCCAAGUGUGUGCCCUUCCCCUGACUUUUUGACACUGGGGUUGGCAUGGGCUUAACGUGAAAGACCAGAGCAGCUGUGAAAGGGGAGAAAUCAGAAUUAGGCAGUGGCAACCGGAGGUCAUGGGGGUGCAUAAAAGGGCUUAACCAGGCAACUUCUGGACUUGGAGUGCAUGUCGAUGAACUCCAAGUUUCUUCCUGCUUUAGCAACAGUCCUGCCCUGUGCCCCCAGUUGCCCUCAGCACAUGCUCCCGCACACAGCCCAGCCUUGGGAUUCGCAGAGCAAGGGCUCUUGCUGGUGACUCGGCUUCUCUGCUCUUCCUAAACACAGGGACAAAACCGGGGCCUCUCCUCUCCCUGACAAGCAGCCGGUUACCUCAGAUGCCUGCUUCGUUAGGACUCCAGGGACUCACUGUGGCCCCAGCCUGUUUCUUUGGAGCCUCCUGUGCAGGCUUUGGCUGGAGGCUACCUGCAGCGGCCACAGUGGGCCGCCCUCCGGAAACCAGGUCUCCCAGCCUGACCCCUCACCCCACCCCUUGCUCCGUCUGGAAAGUCACCACCUCCCAGGCUGGUUGCCUUGUGGCCGGCUCUCACUCACAGGGUGCUGGGAGCGGGACCCUGCAAACCCAAGUUCUUUUCCUUAGAUGUUGGGUGUGAGCACACGGAGGCCCUGAGGAGACAACAGGAGUCUUCUGUUGAUACUGACAGGCUGCGCAUCCAGCUGCUGUGCCUGGAGAGGGCUCGGGAGACCCUCGGGCAGGAGCGCGCUGGACCAGUGUGGCUGGGCCUGGGGCUUAGAGCUGGGAGCCCCACUAAGGCCUGUGGGCGAAGCUUCACCCUGCACCCUGGGAAGCCAGCUUCUGUGUCUCCUUGUCUCUUACCCCUGAGCCUCUGGGCCGUUGAAGGAACUCGUGGGCUUCUUUCUACACCCUGGCCAGUCUCAGGCUUUGGAACCAUGUAGAACUGAACUUAAACCUCAGUUCCGCUCAGGAGGCUAUGACCUUAGGCAAGUUCCUUCACGUGUGCGAGCAUUGUUUUCCAUCUAGAAUAGUGCCUCUUCAUUGGAACAUGCUAGUUCCGCUCCCUGAUGGCUUUGUGGUUUGGCGUUGCCCCAGAAAUUUGAGCUGCCAUGAAUGGAG